rnacentral:rRNA from 1 species
CCUACGGGGGGCUACAGUGGGGAAUAUUGGACAAUGGGGGCAACCCUGAUCCAGCCAUGCCGCGUGUGUGAAGAAGGCCCUCGGGUUGUAAAGCACUUUCAGUGAGGAAGAACGCCUGGUGGUUAAUACCCAUCAGGAAAGACAUCACUCACAGAAGAAGCACCGGCUAACUCCGUGCCAGCAGCCGCGGUAAUACGGAGGGUGCGAGCGUUAAUCGGAAUUACUGGGCGUAAAGCGCGCGUAGGUGGCUUGAUAAGCCGGUUGUGAAAGCCCCUGGCUCAACCUGGGAACGGCAUCCGGAACUGUCAAGCUAGAGUGCAGGAGAGGAAGGUAGAAUUCCCGGUGUAGCGGUGAAAUGCGUAGAGAUCGGGAGGAAUACCAGUGGCGAAGGCGGCCUUCUGGACUGACACUGACACUGAGGUGCGAAAGCGUGGGUAGCAAACAGGAUUAGAUACCCUUGUAGUC